UGCUCAGCAACUCCUAUCCCUACCUCCUCGUGGUACCGGCCGGAAACUAUGAGCAACCUUAAGGAAGAUUGGGUAACCAACUCCGGCAGAAACUUUGGUCGUAAGCUGACAGGGUAGG
rnacentral:ribozyme from 1 species